rnacentral:tRNA from 1 species
GGACUUGUAGCUCAGUUGGUCAGAGCAGCGGCCUCAUAAGCCGAUGGCCUCAGGUUCGAUUCCUGACUUGUCCA